rnacentral:rRNA from 1 species
AGAAUGAACGCUGGCGGCAUGCCUAACACAUGCAAGUCGAACGAAGGCUUCGGCCUUAGUGGCGCACGGGUGCGUAACGCGUGGGAAUCUACCCUUAGGUUCGGAAUAACAGUUGGAAACGACUGCUAAAUACCGGAUGAUGACGUAAGUCCAAAGAUUUAUCGCCUAGGGAUGAGCCCGCGUAGGAUUAGCUAGUUGGUGUGGUAAAGGCGCACCAAGGCGACGAUCCUUAGCUGGUCUGAGAGGAUGAUCAGCCACACUGGGACUGAGACACGGCCCAGACUCCUACGGGAGGCAGCAGUGGGGAAUAUUGGACAAUGGGCGAAAGCCUGAUCCAGCAAUGCCGCGUGAGUGAUGAAGGCCUUAGGGUUGUAAAGCUCUUUACCCGGGAUGAUAAUGACAGUACCGGGAGAAUAAGCUCCGGCUAACUCCGCGCCAGCAGCCGC